rnacentral:rRNA from 1 species
AUGCACAUGAUUAGAGGGAAGAGUCAAGCGUCAGUCCAGUCAUUCAGGGAAGCUGUUAAGUUCAAGAGGAAUAGUUGGCAAGUUUGGGAAAAUUACAGUAAGGUUGCUUUGGACACAGGCAAUAUUCGACUGACACUUGAAGCUAUCAAAAUGGUAUUAAAUUUGUCCGUCAACAAGUGCUUCAAUGUUGAUUUACUGGACAAGGUGAUGACCACCCUUGAAGAACAAGCUACUCAUCUUAAUGACACUCAAGAAGCUAAAUCCAUAGGCAACACUUCAGAUGAUUCAAAUAAAGAGACCAGGCAAUCAAGUCAAUUAUUAGAUAUAAUUGGUGAUAUCCUUGAGCAGAUUGUACAAAAUGGGGCUAGCGUUCCGGAGAUAUGUGGAUUAUGUGCUAGAUACCAUAAGAGCAAGGGUGACCUCAAGAAAUGUUCUAAAGCUUUGCUCAAUCAAGUUCAAUAUCUAAAGGGUUCAGAAUUAUGUCAUGACCAUAAGAAGUUCAAAAAGUUUGCUCAAGCUUCUUUGCAGCUUUGCAAGUUCUACAUGGAAAUUUCAUCCACGACAGGAAGGAAACAAGAAUUAUUGUUAGCUGAGAUGCAUCUUAAAAGCUCCUUGAAAGAGGCCAUGGACUUCGUAGGUUCAGAGGAGUAUCAAGAACUUGCUGACUGA